UAUAUGUGUUUGCAAAAUUAUAAUGAAGCUACAUAUGAUACAUAUUUCAUUUAUCUCAUCUUCCCAUCGAGAAAGUUAAAGAUAAACUAAUCACUGUUAUAUGCUGUCCUUACUCCUUAUCAUGCUUUCUCUUCUAAGGAUUCUUAGUCUACUCCCUUGUACGAAUUUCGAUGUAUACAAGAAAUAUACUCACAUGUUAUUUUGAAUUGUACCCCCUACGUGCAAUACACGACGGAUAACUGUAGACUAUAUAGUAUACAGUUAUGUGCCUACAACUUUUACAACUCAUUAACAUAUAAUGUUAUUUGCACAUUGGAUUACAAUAGGAAGAAAGGUUCGGAGACGUACAUUGCCACGUUUGAUUAGAAGUUCAUUAUAUUAAUUAUAUAUUUAUAUUCAUAGGAUAUAAGUUAUCCAAGGCUUUUAAUAUAUAUAUUUAGAAGUCA
rnacentral:lncRNA from 1 species